AGCCUCAAGGUGAGAGAUACGGAGGUAGAGCACUGAAUGUCCUAGGGGGUAUUGCACCUACUGAAGACUAUCAAACUCCGAAUUCCGUCCUCUUAUACUUGGGAGUCAGACUGUGGGUGAUAAGAUUCUUAGUCGAAAGGGCAACAGCCCAGAUCGUCUGCUAAGUUCCCUAACUGUAAGUUAAGUGGUAAAGGAUGUGGGAUUGCACAGACAACCAGGAUGUUGGCUUAUAAGCAGCCACUCAUUCAAAGAGUGCGUAAUAGCUCACUGGUCGAGUGAUCCUGCGCCGAAGAUUUCCGGGGCUAAAACUUACUACCGUAGCUACGGCAUCAGUACCGAUGGGUAGGGGAGCUUCCCAUCCGGGUUGAAGCAUGACCGUAAGGACAUGUGGACAGUACGGGAGUGAGAAUGUGGGCAUGUGUAGCGAGAUGGGGGGGAGAGUCCCACAGGCCGU
rnacentral:rRNA from 1 species